GCCUCCCUCCGCCGCCACUCACGACUACCGUACCGGGACGGGACGAGGACAAGUAGGGGAAGUAAGUUAGGUAACGAAGUAGGGCGGCGAAGCCUGAUCCAGCAAUGCCGCGGUGGAGGUGGAAGGAAGGUACUUAGGAUUGUAAGCUCUUUCGGUUGGGGACGGAGUGAUGACGGUACCCACAGAAGAAGCCCGGCUAACUUCGUGCCAGCAGCCGCGGUAAUUC
rnacentral:rRNA from 1 species